CUGAAAUGGGAGGUGGCACUACAUGAACUUCUGCUCUGGACCAGUGCGUUGUUUCCUAUAGCCCUAGUGUUUUGCGAGCAUGUGUUUAUGUGACAGUGCAGUUUCUUGAAUGGGAAGGGAAAGGACAGAAACAAAUACAAGUACAUUCCUGUUAAUUUCAUUACAUUCCCAGUACAAAACUAAUUAUUCCUUAUUUCCAGCAAAUUGAGCAGGGUGAGCAGCAGGAAUUCCUCUGGAUUCUAACCCUGCACCUGUGGUACAUCUCCCAGCAAGUGAUGGGCUUGAGUGUCUGCAAGGGAGGGUUGGAGGGUUUCUGUGCAAACAAAACCCAUUUCUAACCUUGGCAGCUGCAGCAGAGAGCUGCUGGUUGUUGCUCUGCACUUGAGGAGCCAAACAAGGCGUGAGCUCCUGGCUUGGCUGAGGUUCCUUGUGCUGGGACAAAAACAGGGCACAAACAUAUCCCAUGUAGCUGAAGUAUAUUCAGCUACGCAGGUUUAUAUGCAGAGAGGCUCCAAGUUGUUUCUAUGGACCAGGACAAGCAAACUCACACAUUUCUUUUUUCUUCCUUUAAGCCGCAAAUCCAGUCUCAUUUUCUCUAAAUCACAUGCUAGACAGGCUGGUUUUCAACCAACCUCUGCGUUUACAUUACAGCUCCAUUUCCUGUCCCCAUGCUCCGGCUACUUCUGGAACCAGUGGAGUGACUUCAUGCAAGGAACCCACCAGAAUUUGAUGUUGGACACUGCCGAGCUCAGCCUGCUCCGUGAAGUACAUAGUGCUGCUUGGGAUGCAGCCCUGCUGCAAUGGCACCACGAGUUUGGGUACCUGCCUGUGCUUCCCCACCAGAAAGGACAUCAGAAACCAGGUAAGAGUGAAAUGUUUUGAAAUGCAAGGAACCUUCUAGUUCUGCAGCUGCUAUCUGUGAGCCUGCAUUUGUGCUACAGCCCAUACUUUUUCCCAGGUGUGCCCAGGGACUGCCUUUGUUUUCUCCUCAGCCU
rnacentral:lncRNA from 1 species